GACGAAGGAUGCAAGCGUUAUCCGGAUUUAUUGGGUUUAAAGGGAGCGUAGGUGGCCUUAUAAGUCAGUGGUGAAAGCCUGUUGCUUAACAACAGAAUUGCCAUUGAUACUGUAGGGCUUGAGUAUAGUUGCUGUGGGCGGAAUAUGACAUGUAGUGGUGAAAUACUUAGAGAUGUCAUAGUAACACCGAUUGCGAAGGCAGCUCACAAAACUAUAACUGACACUGAGGCUCGAAAGUGCGGGGAUCAAACAGG
rnacentral:rRNA from 1 species